rnacentral:rRNA from 1 species
GGCAUUAGUACGUAGCGACUAGAUGUGGGGAACAUUCCACGGUCUCCGUGUCGCAGCUAACGCAUUAAGUUCCCCGCCUGGGGAGUACGGCCGCAAGGCUAAAACUCAAAGGAAUUGACGGGGGCCCGCACAAGCGGCGGAGCAUGCGGAUUAAUUCGAUGCAACGCGAAGAACCUUACCAAGACUUGACAUAUACGAGAACGCUGCAGAAAUGUAGAACUCUUUGGACACUCGUAAACAGGUGGUGCAUGGUUGUCGUCAGCUCGUGUCGUGAGAUGUUGGGUUAAGUCCCGCAACGAGCGCAACCCUCGUCCUAUGUUGCCAGCACGUAAUGGUGGGAACUCAUGGGAUACUGCCGGGGUCAACUCGGAGGAAGGUGGGGAUGACGUCAAAUCAUCAUGCCCCUUAUGUCUUGGGCUUCACGCAUGCUACAAUGGCCGGUACAAAGGGCUGCGAUACCGUAAGGUGGAGCGAAUCCCAAAAAGCCGGUCUCAGUUCGGAUUGAGGUCUGCAACUCGACCUCAUGAAGUCGGAGUCGCUAGUAAUCGCAGAUCAGCAACGCUGCGGUGAAUACGUUCCCGGGCCUUGUACACACCGCCCGUCAAGUCAUGAAAGUCGGUAACACCCAACGCCGGUGGCCUAACCCGUAAGGGAGGGAGCUGUCUAAGGUGGGAUCGGUGAUUAGGACUAAGUCGUAAAAGGGUUAACCA